GCUGGGCGUGGUGGCACACGUCUGUAAUCCCAGCAGCUUGGGAGGCUGAGACAGGAGGAUCUUGAAUUUAAAACCAGCCUCAGCAUAGGUGAGGAGCUAAGCAGUUCAGUGAGACCCUGUCUCUA
rnacentral:sRNA from 1 species